AGCAGCCGCGGUAAUUCCAGCUCCAAUAGCGUAUAUUAAAGUUGUUGCAGUUAAAAAGCUCGUAGUUGAAUUUCGGGGUCAGUAGGCUGGUCGUGCCACGGGUACGUACUGGUUUUACUGAUUCCUCCUUCCUGAAGAACCGUAAUGCCAUUAAUUUGGUGUUGCGGGGAAACAGGACUGUUACUUUGAAAAAAUUAGAGUGUUUAAAGCAGGCUAACGCUUGAAUACAUUAGCAUGGAAUAAUGAAAUAGGACGAUCGAUCCUAUUAUGUUGGUUUCUAGGAUUAACGUAAUGAUUAAUAGGGAUAGUUGGGGGGCAUUAGUAUUCAAUUGUCAGAGGUGAAAUUCUUGGAUUUAUUGAAGACUAACUACUGCGAAAGCAUUUGCCAAGGAUGUUUUCAUUAAUCAAGAACGAAAGUUAGGGGAUCGAAGACGAUCAGAUACCGUCGUAGUCUUAACCAUAAACUAUGCCGACUAGGGAUCGGAUGAUGUUAAUUUUAUAAUGACUCAUUCGGCGCCUU
rnacentral:rRNA from 1 species